CUGCUACUAUACAUAGCGGCGACUGACCAGGUGGUCAGCUCGGUGCUUGUUGCCGAGAAAGAAGAAGAUCUCCCGAGGGCUAAGCUUGCGGGCCAGGGGGCUGAGUCAGCCCCGGAAACCGCCUCGGACCCGGGAAUCGUCGUCGAGCCGGCGGCACUAACACCGCGCAAGCGGCUCGUGCAACACCCGUUGUACUUUGCUUCACCCAGGGGUCGAACGCGGGUGUUGGUCUCAGGAUGCCGUUGGGGAGGGUAUGGGUUUACCCGGUGUUUGCCUUCCCAGUACCCAUUGAACGCAAUCCCCAAAUCUACCCUUCCCAUAAUUUAUCCAUUAUCCGUUUUACCCAUACCCAGAAAGAUAGAACACAAAUUGGAUCCAACAUUUGUGAUCUCGAUCACAGAACAUAUCACCAAGAAAUAAUCAGAAACAAUCGAAUCAACUUUGAUAAGGUGCAGAUCGAAGAAGAAGAAGAAGAAGAAGAAGAAGAAGAAAGAAAGAAAAAAUGAAUUCCCAAAACUGGAUCGAGAGGCAUCAUUCAGGCCGCCGAACUUCCUCCAUGGCCGGCCAUCACGGCCUGCGGCGGGGGCGGCAUGAGGGACGUCAACGGUGAGGGAGGACCGUCCCCCCCCCCCCCCCCCACCCUCCCCCCUUUGCUGCUCCUCCUCCCUGCGCUUCGCCAUGGACACAUCCCUCUCUGAACAUGCCGCUACGGCACCCACCUGACGAAGAACGAGGCCUGAGCUCUGUGCGGGGAUAGAAGGGGGAAGGGCAAGUCACAGGGAAGUGGGCGGCCGGCGGCACACAAGGGUGGAGGAGCACGGCGGCCGGCGGCGCACAGGGACGGAGCAAAACUCGCCCAGGCGGUGGUUGGAUUGUUGGAUUUGGAGAAGGGGAACGACGUGCGGUCUCUCGAGCAGUCUUGAUGGGUAUUACCCACACCAAAACAUUGCCCAUACCCGACCCAAACGUUUGGGUAUGGAUAAGGGAACGGGUAUUGGAUACCCACCGGCAUCCUGAUGUUGGUCCAAG
rnacentral:lncRNA from 1 species